UAGAGUUUGAAUAUGGCUCAGGAUGAACGCUAGCGGCAGGCUUAACACAUGCAAGUCGAGGGGUAACAGGUAGCUUGCUAUGCUGACGACCGGCGAACGGGUGCGUAACGCGUAUAGAAUCUGCCUUGUACAGGAGGAUAGCCUUUAGAAAUGAAGAUUAAUACUCCAUAAUACUGAGCUGUGGCAUCACAAUUUAGUUAAACAUUUAUGGGUACAAGAUGACUAUGCGUCCUAUUAGCUAGAUGGUAAGGUAACGGCUUACCAUGGCAACGAUAGGUAGGGGGUCUGAGAGGAUUAUCCCCCACACUGGUACUGAGACACGGACCAGACUCCUACGGGAGGCAGCAGUGAGGAAUAUUGGACAAUGGAGGCAACUCUGAUCCAGCCAUGCCGCGUGCAGGAAGACUGCCCUAUGGGUUGUAAACUGCUUUUAUACAGGAAGAAACCAUCUCACGUGUGAGAUCUUGACGGUACUGUAAGAAUAAGCACCGGCUAACUCCGUGCCAGCAGCCGCGGUAAUACGGAGGGUGCAAGCGUUAUCCGGAAUCAUUGGGUUUAAAGGGUCCGCAGGCGGUCAAUUAAGUCAGAGGUGAAAUCCCAUAGCUUAACUAUGGAACUGCCUUUGAUACUGGUUGACUUGAGUUAUACGGAAGUAGAUAGAAUAAGUAGUGUAGCGGUGAAAUGCAUAGAUAUUACUUAGAAUACCGAUUGCGAAGGCAGUCUACUACGUAUAUACUGACGCUCAUGACGAAAGCUAUCCC
rnacentral:rRNA from 1 species